rnacentral:rRNA from 1 species
AUGCAAUACCAGAAGAAGAAAAACGAGUUGUUCGAUGUGCUCGUGGAGUUGACAAGGACAGGCACGUACCCAAGUCUCUCCUGGAAAGGCUUCCAAGUUAAUCGGCUGAUGACUCAGCUCUCUGCGCAUGUGGAGCCUAGGCCUUAUGACUCUUACUGGCGCAGUUAUCGGUUUGACGCCAGACUCAGUGACUUCACAAUUUCAUACUUAUUUAUAAGUUAUUUAUAUAAAUACUUCUGGGAACCCAAAGAGAAAGAAGAUGGUGCGACAAGCAACAAUAGUGAAGCCAAGAUCCUCCCCGCUGGCGACAAAGACCUAAAUAAUCACAUGAACUAG